AAUGAACUUUGGCUAUCUACCUGGGAGUCUCGUGAGUGAAAACAUCCGAAGUUCAUCAAAGGUGAAUUACAGGAGAAGGUGAUUCACUCAAUCCAACCAGGAGACUGGGUGUGGAUUCAGUCCCUGAGGAAAAAAGACUGGAAGCAGACCCGUUGGGAAGAACCAUACCAGGUUCUGUUAACCACUGCCUUUGCCCACUGCAAAAAGGUAUGUACACAUAUAAGCACUGCUGAUCACACACAGAGUUAGGAGAAGAACCGAGAACCAACAGGGUCCGGGGAUUACCUCCUUAACCAAGAUUCCCUAUCCCGACCGUUCAUCACUGUGUGUGCUCCUAGAAGUGUGAGUAUGGGGUGGUACCUAGCAGACGGACUAAGGGCAGGAGAGGGUUGGCGGUUUUGGGGAAUAUUAGGGACUCUGAGCUGCAUCAUAGUCUUGGUAAUGUUUCUGAUACAUUCAGAUCCACCACCUUCCGGUACUAAUUAUAGGACGCUGUUGUCAUUGAUAAGAAGUAAAAGACAAACAAUAUAAAAUACUGACCAUCAAGGAUGAGUGACUUACAGAAUAAGGAGACAAAGAAGGUCAAGAUGUAGGAUCUAAGAUAAACAUUAAACAAUUUCCUCAGAAAGCAAAUAACUUCACAGGGAUUGGGUUGGCUUGAUUGAAGUACUUGGCCAACUCACUUCGGUUCACUUUAACUCCUGAUGAGUACCAGUGUUAUAGAUACAAGAAGGGCACCGAGAACUUAGGUGAUUUUAAUGGCUGUAAGGCAAUCGUUAUUGUGACUGACUAUUUAAUGGCUGUAAGGCAAUCACUUAACCUCACAGCACCUAUAACUGAUUUAUGGUGGGCUUGUACCAGCAAAGGAUGCAUACGAUAGACACUACCAAAAGGGUGGUUAGGAACUUGCGCCCUGGUGUUAUUGGUCCAACCAGUUCGAGUUAGUCAUCAGAGGUCAGUUAUAGGAGGCUAAAGAAGGCACAGGAGGAGUUUAGACCAGGAUGGGAGUAGCUUUGUCUAGAUGGAUGCUAUUGGCAUCCCCAUGGAAGUUACAGAUUAAUACAAAGCUAUGAAUCAAAUAGGUGAAGACUUUACCACUACGUUCUUUUGGUGGUUGACAAUAAAUAAAAAUGUGGAUUGGAUUAAUUACAUCUAUUAUAAUCAACAGAGAUUCAUGAAUGAAACCAGGGAUGCAGUAAAGGGGUUCUCUGACCAAUUAUCCACAUCCUGACCUGGAAAAAUAGGUUGGCUCUCGAUAUGUUAUUGGCAGAAAAGGGCCGGGUAUGUAGAAUGAUUGGGGUUCAUUGUUGUACAUUUAUUCCUAAUAACACAGCUCCAAAUGGAUCUGUGACCAAGGCCCUGGCCGGUUUAACCACAUUAGCUCAUAAAUUAGUAGUGAACUCUGCGGUGGAUACCUCCACGACUGGGUGGUCUGAUAGUAUGUUUGGAAAUUGGAAAAAUGUUGUAAUUACUGUAUUGUGGGCUGCUUUCACCUGUAUGAGUGUGUUGGUGUUGUGUGGAUGCUGUUUGAUCCCAUAUGUGAGAGGUUUAAUCACCAGGACUCUAGAGAGAUCGAUGACGCAACAAAUGAUGAGGUAUGGACAGAUUCCGAGCUCCGACCAGUGGGAUGACUACUUCAUGCCUCCAGGCCUAGUAGAUGGUUCCGUUUCCUUCAACCACGAGUAGCCCAGGCAGCCUGUUCAAUUAAUGAAUAUUAUAAUGAAAAUCCUAAAAAGAAGAGUUAUAAUUGGAUAUAGGCCUAGAACAGUCAUUGAUGGGUAUCAGAUGUAAAUACAUGUAUUGGUUUUGUUUGCUUUUGUGUAACAUUUAUGAUUCCAUAUGACGGUUGACGUAUCAGUGUGUAAUAUUUAGUCAAAGGGUGGAUUGAUAAGGGAAUUUAUAUGUUUAAGGUAAUGACUAAAGAAUUCCACCCUGAAAUGUAAUUAUUAGAUUAUGUAACAUGUAUAAGAAUAAUUAGACUAAUGUAAUUAUUAGACUAUGUAAAAUGUAUUAAGAAUAAUUAGACUAAAAUCCAACAAGGUUUGGUUGAGACAAGUAAGGGAGAGAAAUGUGUUUGUGUGUCUAAGAAAACACAGAGGACAAUUAUACAUGACCUGACCUGGUUAAAAGGGUGAAAAAUUUAUGACAGGAAAAGGAGUCCUGUGAAAAGGAAGGGAACGGUAUGGAACUGCCAGCUUGGUAGUGAUAAACGAGGAAUGAGGACUGUGGGGAAAGAUACAUCCCACCCACUGUUUGUGUGUCUGUGUGUGCGUGUAAUCCCCCUACUGUUUGUGUGUCUGUGUGUGCAUGUAAGUAGGUAGGGGGGUGGGAGUUAUAAAAUGACAUGUCUUGGCAUUUUUUGACUUUAGAACGUUCUCUUGAAUAAAGAACCAACCUUGUGCA